rnacentral:rRNA from 1 species
ACGGGUGAGUAAUGUAUAGGAAUCUACCUAGUAGUACGGAAUAAUUGUUGGAAACGACAACUAAUACCGUAUACGCCCUACGGGGGAAAAAUUUAUUGCUAUUAGAUGAGCCUAUAUUAGAUUAGCUAGUUGGUGGGGUAAUAGCCUACCAAGGUAAUGAUCUAUAGCUGAUCUGAGAGGAUGAUCAGCCACACUGGAACUGAGAUACGGUCCAGACUCCUACGGGAGGCAGCAGUGGGGAAUAUUGGACAAUGGGCGAAAGCCUGAUCCAGCCAUGCCGCAUGAGUGAAGAAGGCCUUUGGGUUGUAAAGCUCUUUUAGUGAGGAAGAUAAUGACGGUACUCACAGAAGAAGUCCUGGCUAACUCCGUGCCAGCAGCCGCGGUAAUACGGAGAGGGCUAGCGUUAUUCGGAAUUAUUGGGCGUAAAGGGCGCGUAGGCUGGUUAAUAAGUUAAAAGUGAAAUCCCGAGGCUUAACCUUGGAAUUGCUUUUAAAACUAUUAAUCUAGAGAUUGAAAGAGGAUAGGGGAAUUCCUGAUGUAGAGGUAAAAUUCGUAAAUAUUAGGAGGAACACCAGUGGCGAAGGCGUCUAUCUGGUUCAAAUCUGACGCUGAAGCGCGAAGGCGUGGGGAGCAAACAGGAUUAGAUACCCUGGUAGUCCACGCUGUAAACGAUGAAUGUUAAAUAUGGGGAGUUUACUUUCUGUAUUACAGCUAACGCGUUAAACAUUCCGCCUGGGGACUACGGUCGCAAGAUUAAAACUCAAAGGAAUUGACGGGGACCCGCACAAGCGGUGGAGCAUGUGGUUAAAUUCGAUGCAACGCGAAAAACAAGCCCACUUCUUGACAUGAAAUAAACCCCUUUUA